ACAGAAGUCUUCCAUCCUGCUACUGUGAAGGAGGAGGAUUAAGCGUCCUUAUUCCCUUACUGAGAGAAAACAGGCAGAAGGACUUCAACCAUAAUGGGAUGUCGCAGAAGUUAUUGGUCUUCCAUCCUACUACUGUGAAGGAGGAGGAUUCGGCGUCCUUAUUCCCUGGCUGAGAGGAAACUGGCAAAAGGACUUCGACCAUAAUGGAGGACCAUCAUCAGGACCAUCCGCGGGACUUCGAUCGGGAGUAUCGCGUCGGGAGUGUUCUGGAGCGUCCAGAUUCGAACUUCGAAGUCGCCAAUACCCGGAAUCUCGGAAU